rnacentral:rRNA from 1 species
ACGCUCGACACCUACGGGAGCAGCAGUGGGGAAUUAUUGCACAAUGGGGGAAACCCUGAUGCAGCGACGCCGCGUGAGUGAAGAAGUAUUUCGGUAUGUAAAGCUCUAUCAGCAGGGAAGAGAAUGACGGUACCUGACUAAGAAGCCCCGGCUAACUACGUGCUAGCAGCCGCGGUAAUCUGAGCGGGCUGGCAAGGC